rnacentral:rRNA from 1 species
GUGGAUUAGAUACCUUGGUAGUCCUGGCUGUAAACGGUGUGCACUUGCUGUGAGCGGAAUCGACCCCGCUCGUGGCGAAGUUAACUCGAUAAGUGCACCGCCUGGGAAGUACGGUCGCAAGAUUAAAACUCAAAGAAAUUGACGGGGGCCUGCACAAGCGGAGGAGUAUGUGGCUUAAUUCGAUGCAACGCGAAGAACCUUACCUGGCCUUGACAUGUAGGUAGUAGGAGCCUGAAAGGGUGACGAGGUAGCAAUACCAGCUUACACAGGUGCUGCACGGCCGUCGUCAGCU